rnacentral:rRNA from 1 species
UACGGAGGGUGCAAGCGUUAUCCGGAUUUACUGGGUUUAAAGGGUGUGUAGGCGGACUAUUAAGUCAGUGGUGAAAUCCCGAGGCUCAACCUCGGAACUGCCUUUGAUACUAUUAGUCUUGAAUGUUGUUGAGGUGGGCGGAACGGGUCAUGUAGCGGUGAAAUGCAUAGAUAUGACCCGGAACACCGAUUGCGAAGGCAGCCCGCUAAGCAACUAUUGACGCUGAGGCACGAAAGCGUGGGAAUCAAACAGG